UACGGAGGAUCCAAGCGUUAUCCGGAUUUAUUGGGUUUAAAGGGUGCGUAGGCGGUUUAUUAAGUCAGGGAUGAAAGACGGCAGCUUAACUGUCGCAGUGCCUUUGAUACUGAUGAACUUGAAUGUACUAGAAGUAGGCGGAAUGUGACAAGUAGCGGUGAAAUGCAUAGAUAUGUCACAGAACACCGAUUGCGAAGGCAGCUUACUAUGGUAUGAUUGACGCUGAGGCACGAAAGCGUGGGGAUCAAACAGG
rnacentral:rRNA from 1 species